rnacentral:rRNA from 1 species
GACGAACGCUGGCGGCGUGCCUAAUACAUGCAAGUUGAGCGCUGAAGGUUGGUACUUGUACCAACUGGAUGAGCAGCGAACGGGUGAGUAACGCGUGGGGAAUCUGCCUUUGAGCGGGGGACAACAUUUGGAAACGAAUGCUAAUACCGCAUAAAAACUUUAAACACAAGUUUUAAGUUUGAAAGAUGCAAUUGCAUCACUCAAAGAUGAUCCCGCGUUGUAUUAGCUAGUUGGUGAGGUAAAGGCUCACCAAGGCGAUGAUACAUAGCCGACCUGAGAGGGUGAUCGGCCACAUUGGGACUGAGACACGGCCCAAACUCCUACGGGAGGCAGCAGUAGGAAAUCUUCGGCAAUGGACGAAAGUCUGACCGAGCAACGCCGCGUGAGUGAAGAAGGGUUUCGGAUCGUAAAACUCUGUUGGUAGAGAAGAACGUUGGUGAGAGUGGAAAGCUCAUCAAGUGACGGUAACUACCCAGAAAGGGACGGCUAACUACGUG